UACGGAGGGUGCAAGCGUUAUCCGGAUUCACUGGGUUUAAAGGGUGCGUAGGUGGUUCUGAAAGUCAGUGGUGAAAUCUCCGGGCUUAACCUGGAAAUUGCCAUUGAUACUAUCAGUCUUGAAUAUCGUGGAGGUAAGCGGAAUAUGUCAUGUAGCGGUGAAAUGCUUAGAUAUGACAUAGAACACCAAUUGCGAAGGCAGCUUACUACCCGAAUAUUGACACUGAGGCACGAAAGCGUGGGGAUCAAACAGG
rnacentral:rRNA from 1 species